rnacentral:rRNA from 1 species
UACGUAGGGUGCGAGCGUUGUCCGGAAUUACUGGGCGUAAAGAGCUCGUAGGUGGUUUGUCGCGUUGUCCGUGAAAACUCACAGCUUAACUGUGGGCGUGCGGGCGAUACGGGCAGACUGGAGUACUGCAGGGGAGACUGGAAUUCCUGGUGUAGCGGUGGAAUGCGCAGAUAUCAGGAGGAACACCGGUGGCGAAGGCGGGUUGCUGGGCCGACACUGACGCUGAGGCGCGAAAGCUAGGGGAGCGAACGGG